AGUGAACGCUGGCGGUAGGCCUAACACAUGCAAGUCGAACGGCAGCACAGUAAGAGCUUGCUCUUACGGGUGGCGAGUGGCGGACGGGUGAGGAAUACAUCGGAAUCUACUUUUUCGUGGGGGAUAACGUAGGGAAACUUACGCUAAUACCGCAUACGACCUACGGGUGAAAGCAGGGGAUCUUCGGACCUUGCGCGAUUGAAUGAGCCGAUGUCGGAUUCGCUAGUUGGCGGGGUAAAGGCCCACCAAGGCGACGAUCCGUAGCUGGUCUGAGAGGGUGGUCAGCCACACUGGAACUGAGACACGGUCCCGACUCCUAAGGGAGGCAGCGGUGGGGAAUAUUGGACAAUGGGCGCAAGCCUGAUCCAGCCAUACCGCGUGGGUGAAGAAGGCCUUCGGGUUGUAAAGCCCUUUUGUUGGGAAAGAAAAGCAGCAGGUUAAUACCCCGCUGUUCUGACGGUACCCAAAGAAUAAGCACCGGCUAACUUCGUG
rnacentral:rRNA from 1 species